rnacentral:piRNA from 1 species
UGGAACAAUCAAGUGACCUAUCUACGGUGG